rnacentral:lncRNA from 1 species
CUGCCUCAGCCUCCCGGGUAGCUGGGACUACAGGCGCCCGCGACCACGCCCGGCUAAUUUUUUUUUGUAUUUUUUUUUAGUAGAGACCGGGUUUCGCCGUGUUAGCCAGGAUGGUCUCGAUCUCCUGACCUCGUGAUCCACCCGCCUUGGCCUCCCAAAGUGCUGGGAUUACAGGCGUGAGUAACCGCACCCGGCAGUAGUACCUACUUUUUAAAGUGUAAGCAAGGAAAGUUGGCCCGCACCUGUAGUCCCAUCUACCUGGGAGGCUGAGGUGGAAGAAUUGCUUGAGCCCAGUUGGUCGAGGCUGCAAUGAGCCUUGAUCACGCCACUGCACUCCAGCCUGGGCAACAGAACAAGACCCUGUCUCAAACAAAAAAGUGUAUGUAAGAAUAAAAAUUAAUAGAUUAGGCACAGGAUGGGUGUUUAAUUCUCGGCAAUCACCACUAAGUUUUCAUACUGAGGCUUAUUCAUUCCAUGGGCAAAACAUUGCGCUAUGUGUGGUGCCUGGGGUGGGCUCCAAAUUCCAGUCCUCUCCUCGCUUGCGAUAGCUGUGUGAUCCAUUCCUAAGUUUCCUUAUUUGUCCACAGAGCGUACACAGGGUUUUUAUGAAAACUAGAUCAGAUAAUCAGACACAGUUAAAAUAGCACGCGCUCAGUAAAAUUACAUAUUAGUGGAAGAGACAAGCCUUGAAUAAAUCGCCUUUCGGGGAGUAUGACCCCCUCCCCGAAACCCACUCAGGCGCUGCUCGCUCGCACGCCCACUGAGCUCGGAGCGGAGCCCGAGCCCUUUCCCAGCACACAGGGUUCAUUUCCAGACUGAAAGACAUCCCAGAGACAACUCCAGAGGCCAAGGCGGGUCGGCUUCCUGCGUGGGCCCAGCGCCGGGCACUGAAAGGUGAAGGCGCUUCUUCCGCUCGGAGGAAAGCCUCUGGCGGUUCUCGCUUCGCGGGCUCGGGAUGGACACGCGCGUAGGGCUGGGGAGGUGACGCGCGGACAACGCCGGGGCGAGCAAACUACAACUCCCAGGCAGCUGUGCGCCACGCGGGCGGCCUACUGUCGGGUGUGGCCGCGAGGGGCGGCCUAUAUAAGCUCUUGCUCGCGGCUUCAGCGCCCUUUCUCCCCGCCGCAUUCCCGGUGUCGACUUACUAGCUGCAAGCCUCUGCCUGCCUUCCUGCGCGCCGUUCCCCGCUAGUCGCUGCUGCUGGCGCGCACUCGCCGGGUUUUUCCUCCCACGGCCUCGAGAUGGUGGUGAAUGUGGCACGGAGGAGCCGGGCCUUCCAACCCGGUGGGCCCGAGCUCCGAAAGGCCCCCUCGGCAGUGAGAGGGGCGGGAGCCCGCGGGGGCCGCGCCCUUCUCUCGCUUCGGACUGCGCAACGCUGCGCUCUGGGCUGACAGGCGGAUAAAACGGUCCCAUCAAGACUGAGAAAAAGCACACCAGCUAUUGGCACAGCGUGGGCAGUGGGGCCUACAGGAUGACUGACUUAGUCUACAGAGAUCCCGGCGUACUUAAGCAGAUGAAGACUCUUAAGAUGACAGAAGGUGAUUUUUCUGGUGAUCGAGGACUUCCGGGGUAAUGACAGUGAUGAAAUGCAGGGGACCUGGUAGGUUUCUUUUGGAGACUAACUGGGGGCUGCCUGGUGGGACAGAACAGCAUGUUUCCAAGGGCUGUGGCUGGUCAUAGCCAUGGGAUCUCCAACUGCAUGCAAGAGCAACCUGGAAAGACUUUGACAGCGCAGGUUGCCCCCAAGUUUCCUGGCAGUGUGUGAUACUGAGGAGGUGAGCUUGUUUCUGGAGCUGUGCUUUAAGGUAAAGUUGAUCAGCUUAAUCCUCCUGAUCCCUUUCCCAUCGGAUCUGAACACUGGUCUUGGUGGUCGUAAAAGGAGGAAAAGUAAUAGUGAAGCUGGCCUAAAUGUUGUAAUCUGGUAUAUGGCAUGUGGGCUAGUUUCAGACAGGUUUCAGAGAUGGUUGGAUCUCUGAAAUUGUAAAAUGAAGUAUAAUCUUAGGCUAAGGGAAGGAUGCGUGUGAAGCUCUGGAGAUUCAUGUUACAUGUAAAGCUGUCCUCAUUUGUGACUAUGGACCUAUGGAGUUGGGACAAUCUCUAUGGGAAGCAGAAGGCAAGGACCCCGGUCAUUUUAGGUAGAAACAACAGCAUGCUAAUGCAAAAAAUUAUGCAGUGUGCUACUGAACUUCAGAGGUGAUCAAUAAAAGAAGAAUAAAAAGACUAAUAAAAGUAUAUUUGUGUUUGUAUUUUUUUGUAGAGACCGAACUGGUCUCUU